GACGAACGCUGGCGGCGUGCCUAAUACAUGCAAGUUGAGCGCUGAAGGCUGGUACUUGUACCAACUGGAUGAGCAGCGCACGGGUGAGUAACGCGUGGGGAAUCUGCCUUUGAGCGGGGGACAACAUUUGGAAACGAAUGCUAAUACCGCAUAAAAACUUUAAACACAAGUUUUAAGUUUGAAAGAUGCAAUUGCAUCACUCAAAGAUGAUCCCGCGUUGUAUUAGCUAGGUGGUGAGGUAAAGGCUCACCAAGGCGAUGAUACAUAGCCGACCUGAGAGGGUGAUCGGCCGCAUUGGGACUGAGACACGGCCCAAACUCCUUCGGGAGGCAGCAGUAGGGAAUCGUCGGCAAUGGACGGAAGUCUGACCGAGCAACGCCGCGUGAGUGAAGAAGGUUUUCGGAUCGUAAAACUCUGUUGGUAGAGAAGAACGUUGGUGAGAGUGGAAAGCUCAUCAAGUGACGGUAACUACCCAGAAAGGGACGGCUAACUACGUG
rnacentral:rRNA from 1 species